GCAGUUAAGCUUGUUUGAUGACAUCUCACCCGUGGGCCAGAGCGUGAUAAACGGCUCGGAUCACAGUUCCCUUAUCCCAUGGCUGUAGAGCAUUGCUGACCAGGGUGGCUCUCAGGUUGUCUGACAGAC
rnacentral:snoRNA from 9 species